GACGAACGCUGGCGGCGUGCUUAACACAUGCAAGUCGAACGGAAAGGCCCUGCUUGCAGGGUCCUCGAGUGGCGAACGGGUGAGUAACACGUGGGUGAUCUGCCCUGCACUUCGGGAUAAGCCUGGGCAACUGGGUCUAAUACCUGAUAGGAGCCAUUUUUAGUGGGAUGGUUGGAAAGUUUUUUCGGUGUAGGAUGAGCUCGCGGCCUAUCAGCUUGUUGGUGGGGUAAUGGCCUACCAAGGCGGCGACGGGUAGCCGGCCUGAGAGGGUGGACGGCCACAUUGGGACUGAGAUGCGGCCCAGACUCCGACGGGAGGCAGCAGGGGGGAAGAUUGCACAAGGGGCGCAAGCCUGAUGCAGCGACGCCGCGUGGGGGAUGACGGCCUUCGGGUUGGAAACUCAAUUCGCUAGGGACGAAGCUUUUUGUGACGGUACCUAGAUAAGAAGCACCGGCUAACUACGUG
rnacentral:rRNA from 1 species